UACGUAGGGUGCGAGGCGUUGCCCGGAUUUAUUGGGCGUAAAGGGCGCGUAGGCGGCCACGCACGUCCGUUGUGAAAUCGCUCGGCUCAACUGGGCGGGGUCAGCGGAUACGGUGUGGCUAGGAGCAAGCUAGGGGGCAAUGGAAUUCCCGGUGUAGUGGUGGAAUGCGUAGAUAUCGGGAGGAACACCAGUGGCGAAGGCGGUUGCCUGGAGCUUUGCUGACGCUGAUGCGCGAAAGCGUGGGGAGCGAGUCCGG
rnacentral:rRNA from 1 species